rnacentral:rRNA from 1 species
AUUGAACGCUGGCGGCAGGCUUAACACAUGCAAGUCGAGCGGAGAUGAGGUGCUUGCACCUUAUCUUAGCGGCGGACGGGUGAGUAAUGCUUAGGAAUCUGCCUAUUAGUGGGGGACAACAUUCCGAAAGGAAUGCUAAUACCGCAUACGACCUACUGGGGAAAGCAGGGGAUCUUCGGACCUUGCGCUAAUAGAUGAGGCUAAGUCGGAUUAGCUAGUUGGUGGGGUAAAGGCCUACCAAGGCGAAGAUCUGUAGCGGGUCUGAGAGGAUGAUCCGCCACACUGGGACUGAGACACGGCCCAGACUCCUACGGGAGGCAGCAGGGGGGAAUAUUGGACAAUGGGCGGAAGCCUGAUCCAGCCAUGCCGCGUGUGUGAAGAAGGCCUUUUGGUUGUAAAGCACUUUAAGCGAGGAGGAGGCUACCUGGAUUAAUACUCUAGGAUAGUGGACGUUACUCGCAGAAUAAGCACCGGCUAACUCUGUGCCAGCCGCCGCCGUAACAC